rnacentral:rRNA from 1 species
UCAAAUUUGAAAUCUGGCUCCUUUUAGGGGUCCGAGUUGUAAUUUGCAGAGGGUGCUUUGGCGUUGGUAGCGGUCUAAGUUCCUUGGAACAGGACAUCGCAGAGGGUGAGAAUCCCGUUUGUGGUCGCAUGCCUUCGCCGUGUAAAGCCCCUUCGACGAGUCGAGUUGUUUGGGAAUGCAGCUCUAAAUGGGAGGUAAAUUUCUUCUAAAGCUAAAUACUGGCCAGAGACCGAUAGCGCACAAGUAGAGUGAUCGAAAGAUGAAAAGCACUUUGGAAAGAGAGUCAAACAGCACGUGAAAUUGUUGAAAGGGAAGCGCUUGCAGCCAGACUUGCCCGUAGUUGCUCACCUAGGCUUUUGCCUGGGGCAUUCUUCUGCGGGCAGGCCAGCAUCAGUUUGGGCGGUCGGAUAAAGGUCUCUGUCAUGUAGCUUCCUUCGGGAAGAACUUAUAGGGGAGACGAAAUGCGACCAGCCUGGACUGAGGUCCGCGCAUCUGCUAGGAUGCUGGCGUAAUGGCUGUAAGCGGCCCGUCUUGAAACACGGACCAAGGAGUCUAACAUCUAUGCGAGUGUUUGGGUGUCAAGCCCGAACGCGUAAUGAAAGUGAACGGAGGUGGGAACCCUUUGGGUGCACCAUCGACCGAUCCUGAUGUCUUCGGAUGGAUUUGAGUAAGAGCAUAGCUGUUGGGACCCGAAAGAUGGUGAACUAUGCUUGAAUAGGGUGAAGCCAGAGGAAACUCUGGUGGAGGCUCGCAGCGGUUCUGACGUGCAAAUCGAUCG